rnacentral:rRNA from 1 species
UGGGGAAUAUUGCGCAAUGGGCGAAAGCCUGACGCAGCGACGCCGCGUGGGUGAUGAAGGCCUUCGGGUCGUAAAGCCCUGUCGGGGGGAAGAAACUCCCCGGACCUAAUACGUCCGGGAAUUGACGGUACCUCCUAAGGAAGCACCGGCUAACUACGUGCCAGCAGCCGCGGUAAUACGUAGGGACCAAGCGUUGUUCGGAUUUACUGGGCGUAAAGGGCGCGUAGGCGGCAAUUCAAGUCAUCUGUGAAAUCUCCGGGCUUAACUCGGAACGGUCAGAUGAUACUGCUUUGCUAGAGUGCAGAAGGGGCAAUCGGAAUUCUUGGUGUAGCGGUGAAAUGCGUAGAUAUCAAGAGGAACACCUGAGGUGAAGACGGGUUGCUGGGCUGACACUGACGCUGAGGCGCGAAAGCCAGGGGAGCAAACGGGAUUAGAUACCCCGGUAGUCC